CCAGACUCCUACGGGAGGCAGCAGUGGGGAAUCUUCCGCAAUGGACGAAAGUCUGACGGAGCAACGCCGCGUGAGUGAUGACGGCCUUCGGGUUGUAAAGCUCUGUUAAUCGGGACGAAAGGCCUUCUUGCGAAUAGUGAGAAGGAUUGACGGUACCGGAAUAGAAAGCCACGGCUAACUACGUGCCAGCAGCCGCGGUAAUACGUAGGUGGCAAGCGUUGUCCGGAAUUAUUGGGCGUAAAGCGCGCGCAGGCGGAUAGGUCAGUCUGUCUUAAAAGUUCGGGGCUUAACCCCGUGAUGGGAUGGAAACUGCCAAUCUAGAGUAUCGGAGAGGAAAGUGGAAUUCCUAGUGUAGCGGUGAAAUGCGUAGAUAUUAGGAAGAACACCAGUGGCGAAGGCGACUUUCUGGACGAAAACUGACGCUGAGGCGCGAAAGCCAGGGGAGCGAACGGGAUUAGAUACCCCGGUAGUCCUGGCUGUAAACGAUGGGUACUAGGUGUAGGAGGUAUCGACCCCUUCUGUGCCGGAGUUAACGCAAUAAGUACCCCGCCUGGGGAGUACGACCGCAAGGUUGAAACUCAAAGGAAUUGACGGGGGCCCGCACAAGAA
rnacentral:rRNA from 1 species